UUUUUUGUGUCUUUAAGAUUUUCGAACCCAUCGAUGCUCAAUUUGUUUGAAUGCCAAUUGAUGGUAGAGAUCCGUACGCAUUCAAAAAGGUAUAACAUUUUAAAAUCAGACAUUAUUUACCCGAGAUAUUAAAAAAAAAAUCAUCGAAAAAGUUUAGAUUUUCGCAAAAAAACGUGGUGAUUUGGAAGGACAUAUCUUCGCCGGGAGUUAUGUCGUUUUGGAACGUCAUAUCUCCACGCGGAGCUAUUACCCGAUAUAUUAAAAAUAAAUCAUCCAAAAAGAUUCGAUUUUAGCACCGACCUCUAUUUUGAAAAAAAUCGCGAUGAUUUGGAAGGUCAUAUCUCCGCGCGGAGAUAUGUCGUUUUGGAACGUCAUAUCUCCGCCGGGAGUUAUGUCGUUUUGGAGGCAGAUUGGCAGCUAGUCGGCCACCCAUUGUCAGACUGAAUGGAGUGAAUGUGAGGUAUGCGUCUGAGGUGAAAUACCUCGGCAUAACCUUCGGCGAGAGGAUGUGUUUCACUCCUCAUAUCGCUGGUCUCAAGGCCCGGCUACUUGGUUUGGUGGGGCAAGUGCGUCGUAUUUUGAGGUCUGACUGGGGCCUAAGCAGACGUGCUGUCCGCACCAUCUAUGAGGGUCUGUUUGUUGCAUGUGCAGCAUAUGGAUCGUCUGUAUGGUGCAAGGCGGUCACGACUGUGGUCGGCAGAAAGAAAGUGCUGGCUUGCCAGAGAGUGCUUCUGUUAGGUUGUUUGCCUGUGUGCCGCACUGUCUCUACGGAGGCAAUGCAGGUACUGUUAGGAGUAGCCCCUCUUGACUUGGAGAUCAGGCGUCGAGCCUUGAUGUACAGGAUCAAGAGGCGGCUGCCAUUGCUGCAGAAUGAUUGGCUAGCGGGUAGGGAUGUGGAGAGUUUAGGGCUUAGUGAAUGCAAGAGAUUGGUGAAAGAGUGUGUUUUGUCUGACUGGCAAGUCAGAUGGGACACUAGCGUGAAUGGGCGUGUCACUCAUCGGUUUAUACGGGAGGUUACAUUUGCCGGCAGCCGACCAGACUUUGGGUUCUGCCUGAGUCUUGGAUUCCUGUUGACUGGUCACGGUUCCCUCAAUGCAUUCCUGCAUUCGAGGAACCUUUAUGACAGUCCAGAAUGCCGUUGUGGCUCGGCUGCUGAGACAUGGGAGCAUGUUCUCUGUGAGUGCACAAGGUAUGCAGAUUUUCGAGAUCUGAGGGGGAUGGGUAUAAGUGAGGUUAGUGGCGGGUUUGACGUAAGUCAAUCACUCUCCACUAGUGAUAGGGUUAGAAGAAUGAGUGAGUUUGCUAGAGCUGCAUUUUCCAGGCGACGUUUGCAAUUGCAGGAAGGAAUUGUAUGAAUGAUGAUGGAUGGUAGAUGUGAGAAUGUGGGGGUACGAAUGUGGGGGUGUUUCUGAAUGGUAAUUUUUGUUGAACAUUGUGUUGUGAUGGGGCUACCAACCCUUAACUGUUUGGAGUUUAAAUUGGAAGUGCCCUUCUGGUACGAGGCCUGACCGGAGGCUUUUAAUCUGGUACCACGGGUAACCAGGAGCCCACGGAACUUGUUCCGUCCUGGUUAGUUGGUGCGGCCCUUCGGGGAGUAUCGUGGUGGUUGUGGUUUAACACCCAAAUGCGGGUAGAGCAUCGCUCGACGUGGAGUUGCGUCAUACAACCGGGUUCCGUGACCCAGAUUACGGAAGAGGCUUAGAUAGUCCUCGUGCCAAACCAAGGUAGAAGUCACAACCAAACAGUCGUGUCUUUAAUUGGUACCUGCGGAAUUGUUCCAAGGGGGCGGUGAUUGACGCUUGAAUUAAUCCUAUACUAGGAACCGUGAGAUUAAGCCAUCGCGGCAGGUGCUCACGUUAAGCCCACUGACUUUCAUGUCCCUAUCUACUAUCUAGCGAAACCACAGCCAAGGGAACGGGCUUGGAAUAAUUAGCGGGGAAAGAAGACCCUUUUGAGCUUGACUCUAAUCUGGCAGUGUAAGGAGACAUAAGAGGUGUAGAAUAAGUGGGAGAUAUUAGACUUCGGUUUGGUAUCGACAAUGAAAUACCACUACUCUUAUUGUUUCCUUACUUACUUGAUUAAAUGGAACGUGUAUCAUUUCCUAGCCAUUAUACGGAUAUAAUUAUUAUGUCUUAUGGUAUUGGGUUUUGAUGCAAGCUUCUUGAUCAAAGUAUCACGAGUUUGUUAUAUAAUCGCAAACAAAUUCUUUAAUGAGAGAAUGCAUUUAUGUAUUAUUGAUUUAAAAAUUUGGUAUAACUCCAAUUACUCAGGUAUGAUCCAAUUCAAGGACAUUGCCAGGUAGGGAGUUUGACUGGGGCGGUACAUCUCUCAAAUAAUAACGGAGGUGUCCCAAGGCCAGCUCAGUGCGGACAGAAACCACACAUAGAGCAAAAGGGCAAAUGCUGACUUGAUCUCGGUGUUCAGUACACACAGGGACAGCAAAAGCUCGGCCUAUCGAUCCUUUUGGUUUAAAGAGUUUUUAACAAGAGGUGUCAGAAAAGUUACCAUAAGGAUAACUGGCUUGGGGCGGCCAAGCGUUCAUAACGACGUCCCUUUUUGAUCCUUCCAUGUCGGCUCUUCCUAUCAUUGGGAAACAAAAUUCACCAAGCGUUGGAUUGGUCACCCAUGCAAGGGAACGUGAGCUGGGUUUAAACCGUCCUGAGACAGGUUAAUUUUACCCUACUAAUGACCAAACGUUGUUGCGACAGCAUUCCUGCGUAAUACGAAAGGAACCGCAAGUACGGACCAAUGGCACAAUACUUGUGUCGAGCGAACAGUGGUAUGACGCUACGUCCGUU
rnacentral:rRNA from 1 species